AGCAAAGCAAAGACGGAAAACAGUAAAGAAACUUCUUAUGCACAGCGAACCCGGGUCGGUGAAAAGCGGGUCAUAUCGUUUUUUGAAGAAACGCUCCCGAGCUUUUCAAUGGAAAAAAAGAGUACAUUGGAACGGACUUCCCCGUUACGGAAUCAUGAGUGGAGAAAUCACUUUCUCUAUAAAGGUGGCACCGCGGAUUAACUUUCGUCCUUUUU
rnacentral:ncRNA from 1 species